GAAUUCGCCCUUGGGGAAUUUUCCGCAAUGGGCGAAAGCCUGACGGAGCAAUACCGCGUGAGGGAGGAAGGCUCUUGGGUUGUAAACCUCUUUUCUCAGGGAAGAAGAAAGUGACGGUACCUGAGGAAUAAGCAUCGGCUAACUCCGUGCCAGCAGCCGCGGUAAUACGGAGGAUGCAAGCGUUAUCCGGAAUGAUUGGGCGUAAAGGGUCCGCAGGUGGCAUUGUAAGUCUGCUGUUAAAGAGUUUGGCUCAACCAAAUAAAAGCAGUGGAAACUACAAAGCUAGAGUGUGGUCGGGGCAGAGGGAAUUCCUGGUGUAGCGGUGAAAUGCGUAGAUAUCAGGAAGAACACCGGUGGCGAAGGCGCUCUGCUAGGCCAAGACUGACACUGAGGGACGAAAGCUAGGGGAGCGAAUGGGAUUAGAUACCCCAGUAGUCCUAGCCGUAAACGAUGGAUACUAGGCGUAGCUCGUAUCGACCCGAGCUGUGCCGUAGCUAACGCGUUAAGUAUCCCGCCUGGGGAGUACGCAGGCAACUGUGAAACUCAAAGGAAUUGACGGGGGCCCGCACAAGCGGUGGAGUAUGUGGUUUAAUUCGAUGCAACGCGAAGAACCUUACCAAGGCUUGACAUGUCACGAAUUCCGUUGAAAGAUGGAAGUGCCUUCGGGAGCGUGAA
rnacentral:rRNA from 1 species